rnacentral:misc_RNA from 1 species
GUUUUGCUGUUCGUCUAGCCUUUAAUGGAGAAAUGGACUGGUCUAGCUGUUCAUUCGGCUGUUUCUGAAAUCUGGGUUUGAUUUGUUUCUUGAUUUGAAGAAUACCCUUUUGAAUUUUAUUAUGUUUGUGGGGGAAUCCGUUGUGCACACAAACUGUUUGAUGAAAUUUCUAAGAGGAAUUUGGUUUCUUGGAACACCUUGAUGGGUGGUGUAAGUAAUUAUUCUGCGGUUUUGGAUAUGAUUGUAGAGUUGCG